GCCGUCAAAUAUGCACCGCCACUAGGCCGUCCUUUGGCCUCCGACGACGCUCCGGCGACACCAGGUGUGGGCGUUGGAGAACGUGGGUUGUGCGAGGCGAUAACCGCUGGAGGAAGAACGUGUGCGGCACUGGGGAGGCUACUUGCUGCUGCAGCACUGAUGCGAAGAGGGUUCUUUGAUGGGUUUAUUGGGCUAGGUUAAAUUUGGUUUUAGGCUAAUGUAAUUGGGUUACAAUUUGGGCUUGUAACAUUUGUAAUUGGGCCACGUGAAUUAAGUUUUUAAAUGGACUGAGCACCUUUGUUUAUUUA